AGGUAAGCUACUAAGAGCGAAUGGUGGAUGCCUUGACUGGUAAAGGCGAUGAAGGACGUACUAGACUGCGAUAAGCUACGGGGAGCUGUCAAGAAGCUUUGAUCCGUAGAUUUCCGAAUGGGGCAACCCAAUGUAUAGAGAUAUACAUUACCUAUAUAGGAGCGAACGAGGGGAAUUGAAACAUCUUAGUACCCUCAGGAAAAGAAAUCAAUAGAGAUUGCGUCAGUAGCGGCGAGCGAAAGCGCAAGAGGGCAAACCCAGUGCUUGCACUGGGGGUUGUAGGACUGCAAUGUGCAAGAGGUAAGUUUAGCAGAACAUUCUGGAAAGUAUAACCAUAGAGGGUGAUAGUCCCGUAUGCGAAAAACAAACCUUAGCUAGCAGUAUCCUGAGUAGGGCGGGACACGAGGAAUCCUGUCUGAAUCCGGGUCGACCACGAUCCAACCCUAAAUACUAAUACCAGAUCGAUAGUGCACAAGUACCGUGAGGGAAAGGUGAAAAGAACUGAGGUGAUCAGAGUGAAAUAGAACCUGAAACCAUUUGCUUACAAUCAUUCAGAGCCCUAUGUAGCAAUACAGGGUGAUGGACUGCCUUUUGCAUAAUGAGCCUGCGAGUUGUGGUGUCUGGCAAGGUUAAGCAAACGCGAAGCCGUAGCGAAAGCGAGUCUGAAUAGGGCGCUUAGUCAGAUGCUGCAGACCCGAAACGAAGUGAUCUAUCCAUGAGCAAGUUGAAGCUAGUGUAAGAACUAGUGGAGGACUGAACCCAUAGGCGUUGAAAAGCCCCGGGAUGACUUGUGGAUAGGGGUGAAAGGCCAAUCAAACUUCGUGAUAGCUGGUUCUCUCCGAAAUAUAUUUAGGUAUAGCGUUGUGUCGUAAUAUAAGGGGGUAGAGCACUGAAUGGGCUAGGGCAUACACCAAUGUACCAAACCCUAUCAAACUCCGAAUACCUUAUAUGUAAUCACAGCAGUCAGGCGGCGAGUGAUAAAAUCCGUCGUCAAGAGGGAAACAACCCAGACUACCAGCUAAGGUCCCUAAAUCUUACUUAAGUGGAAAACGAUGUGAAGUUACUUAAACAACCAGGAGGUUGGCUUAGAAGCAGCCAUCCUUUAAAGAAAGCGUAAUAGCUCACUGGUCUAGUGAUUUUGCGCGGAAAAUAUAACGGGGCUAAAGUAAGUACCGAAGCUGUAGACUUAGUUUACUAAGUGGUAGGAGAGCGUUCUAUUUGCGUCGAAGGUAUACCGGUAAGGAGUGCUGGAGCGAAUAGAAGUGAGCAUGCAGGCAUGAGUAGCGAUAAUUAAUGUGAGAAUCAUUAACGCCGUAAACCCAAGGUUUCCUACGCGAUGCUCGUCAUCGUAGGGUUAGUCGGGUCCUAAGUCGAGUCCGAAAGGGGUAGACGAUGGCAAAUUGGUUAAUAUUCCAAUACCAACAUUAGUGUGCGAUGGAAGGACGCUUAGGGCUAAGGGGGCUAGCGGAUGGAAGUGCUAGUCUAAGGUCGUAGGAGGUUAUACAGGCAAAUCCGUAUAACAAUACUCCGAGAACUGAAAGGCUUUUUGAAGUCUUCGGAUGGAUAGAAGAACCCCUGAUGCCGUCGAGCCAAGAAAAGUUUCUAAGUUUAGCUAAUGUUGCCCGUACCGUAAACCGACACAGGUGGGUGGGAUGAGUAUUCUAAGGCGCGUGGAAGAACUCUCUUUAAGGAACUCUGCAAAAUAGCACCGUAUCU
rnacentral:rRNA from 1 species